AGCCACAGUGGAAGAAUAUGUAGGGCAUUGAGGUUUCCUAUAUUAACAAAGUAUCACUUUGAACCCAGCUACAACUUCAAAUUCUGUCUGUGCUUUUAGCAUGCCUGAUAUCUACUUGCUCUUCUGCAUCUGCUACAGGUAAAACUGAGAUAAAUUUUAUAAUUUAACAUCUUGUGACUUGUUAAAAUGGAUGUAGAUCCAGCAAUCCCUCUUCUGGGUAUAUACCUGCUUUUGUUUUAAUUCUGGAGAUUUCUAUCAAAAUUUUCAAGCAGCUCAGAAAUUGUCUUAUUUUCCAUAGCAACUAGUAGUAUAAAUUGUGUUCUUUUAUUUCCAGGAAAUGCUUCCAGACUGCACACUUUUACUUAGAGGACAGUACAUCCCCUAGAGUUAUAUCCACACCUCCAACACCUAUCUUUCCAAUUUCAGAUGAUGUCGGAGCAAUUCCAAUAAAGCACUUUCCAAAGCAUGUUGCAGAUUUACAUGCAAGUAGUGGGUUUACUGAAGAAUUUGAGGAAGUGCAGAGCUGUACUGUUGACUUAGGUAUUACAGCAGACAGCUCCAACCACCCAGA
rnacentral:lncRNA from 1 species